rnacentral:rRNA from 1 species
UGGGGAAUCUUGCGCAAUGGACGAAAGUCUGACGCAGCCACGCCGCGUGAGUGAAGAAGGCCUUCGGGUUGUAAAGCUCUGUCGCCCGGGACGAAAAGCAGGGAGGUGAAUAGCCUUCAUGCCUGACGGUACCGGGAGAGGAAGCACCGGCUAACUCCGUGCCAGCAGCCGCGGUAAUACGGAGGGUGCAAGCGUUGCUCGGAAUUAUUGGGCGUAAAGGGUAGGUAGGUGGUCUUAUUUGUCUGGGGUGAAAGCCUUGAGCUUAACUCAAGAAGUGCCCCAGAAACGGUAAGACUCGAGUCCUGGAGAGGGUCGUGGAAUUCCCGGUGUAGCGGUGAAAUGCGUAGAGAUCGGGAGGAACACCAGAGGCGAAAGCGGCGACCUGGACAGGCACUGACACUCAACUACGAAAGCGUGGGGAGCAAACAGGAUUAGAUACCCCUGUAGUCC